UUGUACCAUUUGGGUGAAAAUUGUAGCACUGAGAGAACCGCAAAAACGGCGUUUUUGCAUAAGGUUCUCUCAGGCUUCCAAAGACUUCUGGUAGGUACUGUAUAAUUCUUUUGUUGCAAUUGUAUCGUUGUAUAAUAAGUAUUGCUGCUAUGUUCUUCUUAUGUUCUAACUUAAAAAUUAAAAAUACAGUUUGUCUUACAGAAGAUUUGAACAGUGGUCUAAAACUCUAAAUUAGGAGAAGAAAUUGAGCACAAGAUUCGAAGAUUAGUUCAAAAAGUGACCCGAUGAAUGUGGGCCGAGCACUGGCCUUUUCCUUUUCGAAAAAAAAAAUGCUUAUAAACAGCGAUACAUUGCAGGCCGCCGGUGGCAGCGACGUAUCAAAAUGAUAACCGGCUAGGGUUGCUACAGGUGCAUUCAACCAAAAUAAGGAUAUCACAACCGGUUUCGCCAUAAAUCUGUCGUCUGUUUCCCAAUUUCUUUAUCCUCCCUUUUGCAAUUUUUGUUUUUCGACGGUAACGUAUGAAUGCUAGACUGAUAACAACCGAAUAACAACAAUAUGUAUGCUCUUUCUUUGUCUCUACUUUGUCUUCUACGUUCCAAUUCUGAUCUCGAUCUCGUUUGAGACAAUUUUACCAACUGGUUUCAUUUCAAGAAAGUUCAACCACUUCUUCAAUACACUUUCUCAACGCUUCGAAAACUAAA